CUCCGUCCUUAAAAGGUUAAAAAAAAAAAAUGUAUUAACCGAGAGGAAGAAUGGUCACUGCCUUCCUUUUCCCUCACAUCAUAUGUAGAAGGUAGUAGGCACCAAGAAUUUGGUCAGAGGAUAUCUUUAGCAGUCUGAAAAUAGGGGAUUUCCUAGUACCAAAAAAACAGCUCUUCUGCUUCUAUCUAGAGCAAUUACACAUAAACUUCACGUCUACAUCUUUUAAAUGUAUUUCAGAUAAUAGCUAUAUGUCUUGUU